UAGGGAAUCUUCGGCAAUGGGGGGAACCCUGACCGAGCAACGCCGCGUGAGUGAAGAAGGUUUUCGGAUCGUAAAGCUCUGUUGUUAAGGAAGAACGAGUGUGAGAAUGGAAAGUUCAUACUGUGACGGUACUUAACCAGAAAGGGACGGCUAACUACGUGCCAGCAGCCGCGGUAAUACGUAGGUCCCGAGCGUUGUCCGGAUUUAUUGGGCGUAAAGCGAGCGCAGGCGGUUAGAUAAGUCUGAAGUUAAAGGCAGUGGCUCAACCAUUGUAGGCUUUGGAAACUGUUUAACUUGAGUGCAGAAGGGGAGAGUGGAAUUCCAUGUGUAACGGUGAAAUGCGUAGAUAUAUGGAGGAACACCGGUGGCGAAGGCGACUCUCUGGUCUGUAACUGACGCUGAGGCUCGAAAGCGUGGGUAGCAAACAGG
rnacentral:rRNA from 1 species